UUUCUCGCAUAAGUUUUUAGUCUCUCUCUCUUUCUUCUCUCACGGGACGAUCUAUCUUUCUCGAUCUCACGAGACCGUCAUCAUCGAUCACGACAUCGAUCAACCCUUUUGGGUCAUUGCUUUUGGGUUAUCGAUUGCAACACAUCAACUCAUCUUCCUUGUGAGACGGUUGUUAUUAGACCGAGUCCAAAUAAUGUGGAAGACAUGAUCACACGUCCACCAAAGGAGAGGAAGUUUAACAGUACCUUGGCAAGCACACAAGAACAAGAAGAACAAACUUGAGUUCCUUGUAUCAUGGUUGGGAUCUUCAAGCACGCAAGAACAGUACAAGAGGAACAAACUCAGUUAUUGUUUUUUUUUUAAAUAUA